rnacentral:rRNA from 1 species
UACAGAGGUCCCGAGCGUUGUUCGGAUUCACUGGGCGUAAAGGGUGCGUAGGUGGCGAGGAAAGUCGGAUGUGAAAGCCCCGGGCUCAACCCGGGAAGUGCACUCGAUACUGCCAAGCUAGAGUAUCGGAGAGGUUGGUGGAAUUCUCGGUGUAGAGGUGAAAUUCGUAGAUAUCGAGAGGAACACCGGUGGCGAAGGCGGCCAACUGGACGAAUACUGACGCUGAGACUCGAAAGCGUGGGGAGCAAACAGG